CCGUUCAGACCGCCUGGGGUGCUCUGGCGGUCAUCAUCUGCCCCGGGCGGAUUCCCGAUACACGCGCACGCACCGAACACAUCGGCACGAGGUGCGCCGGUGGCCAAGGGACGCAUCUGGUCGAACGCUUCCCUCUGCCAAAGCAGAGAUGGCGGGUUCAUCGGCGCGGCUUCCCACCGUUGGAUGCAGCUGCUCGGCAGCCACCCUCGCGUACUCUCGCACUUAUGUGCGGAGCUCCAGCACGCGAAUUACUGAAAGCAGGAGCGGCAGCAUCGUUUCUUCAUCGCUGCCGUGGUCGCAGCACCGGUGUCAAGUGCGCACCUUGAUUGUGCCACGCCAGCUGAAGGCGUACGGCGGCACCUUCAGCCAGUCGAUUGGCGAGCGCGUCGACCACGCUGCGAGCCACCAGGUGCUGCAGAGUCUCUCCCCAUCGCGCGCCGCGCAGUCGCCGCUCCUCGCCAAGCCCGUGAAGACAAAGAUGGUGGACAACUUUGCCGACAUGCUGGUGACUCCGGCGCUGCAGGAAGCGCUCGCUGGCAUGGGUGUCUCCACGCCAUCGCCGAUCCAGCAGACCGCCAUCGAGGCCGUGCUGCAGCGCAAGAACACCGUCAUUGCCGCCCCGCAUGGGGAAGGCAAGACGCUGGCCUACCUGCUGCCCCUCUACCAGAACAUGGAGAAGGACCGAGACGUGUACAAGAUCCCGCUGCGUGAGCGCCGCCCCCGCAUGAUCUUGCUUGCGCCGACAAAGGAGUUGGUGGAGCAGCUGCAGACAGUGUGCGCGCGGCUGGAUGCCGCGACGGGCCUGACCUCGGUGUGCUUCACGUCCCGCAAGCGCUCCAAGUACCACCUGUCGAGGAUGUUGAAGAGCACCAUGGCGGACGUACUAGUCAUGGACCCGAAGCUCAUCCUACGACUCCUACGCACACGUCGCCUCUUUAUCGAAGACCUGCGCUACUUCGCCGUAGACGAGGCGGAUGCGAUGAUGAGCUCUCUGCACGAUCACGACGCUGUGCAGCUGCUCAUGAAAGUGCAGAACCGAAACCAGUUCAAGUACCUCUGGCCUGUGCAGACGCAGUACGUCUUCGUCACCGCCUACAUGACGCGCAAGCUGGAGUACAUCGUUGGCCGCAAGAUCAGCGAUCCGGUGACGUGCAUGUUCCGGCAGCAGAUGCACCGCCCGCAGGCGCGGCUGCGUCACCGCUUCUACGCGAUUCGCCGUGAGCCGGAGAAGUUCACUGUGCUGAUGCACCUUCUUCGCAAGAACGGACAUGUGCCGCUCCCGAUGGACACAGACGUUGCCGAGGUGGACGUGCACACGAACCCACGCAAGCUCUCUGGCUCGCUGGCCGAAUGGCAUGAGGCGGUGCAACGAUGCGCGUGGAAAGAGCAGCAGGAGCAGGAAAAGAACUCUGGCAGCGGCGAGGCCGUCACCGAUGACGUCGUGGACGUCGAUGAGGUUGCGGUAGGAGCCCCGGAAGAAGCGUCGGCAGCCGUGCCUUCGGCGCGCCUCUCCGCCACGGAAAACGCAGCGGCAGGCGAUGACUACGACCACGACUCGUACGCGCGCUACACGCUCGAGCGCGUGCGUCCGCUUCACUGGGAACACCUGACCACAGUCGCGGCACCCUUCACAUGUCCCAUUCGCCGCACCGUCUUCGCCGAGGGUCGCCGCACCAUCGUCUUCUUCCGCAACAUCGACGCGACGACGGCCGUGUUUUACCAGCUGCGCAGCGCCGGCUUUGCCGUGUCGCUGCUGCAUGCCUCACUGCCCUACACGGUGCGCAAGGAGAUGUACGCCGACUUCGCCUCUGGUCGCACGAACAUACUCUGUGCAACGGAUCUUGCCGCGCGGGGGCUGGACCUCCACGUCGACAUGGUCAUCAACUUCGACGUGCCGACGAACGCGCUCGCGUACCUCAGCCGCAGCGGGCGCACGGCGCGCAUGGGGCGAGAGGGGCAGGUGCUGAACCUCUACAACAAGCACCAGGGCGUCAUUGUAUCAGCCAUCAAGGCGUUCCUGAAGGACAACCUGCCGAUGGAGGGGCUCACGAAUCGCAAGGCCGACAUGAUGCAGCCGCGGUACGCCGAGUGGCGCACCCAUAAAAUCAACGCUCUGGCCCGCUCGUACGUCUCCCUCAUCACGCGCAAGACCAUCCCUGCCCAUCUGGAGCGCACGUACGUGCACCACAACGCGACAUGGCGGCCGGUCUUCCAUCCACAGAAGACCGGCAUCCAUGGCGGUGUCGCUCCGCGACAGCAGCAGAAGCUGAUGGACCGCGUAAGGGAGCAGGCCGUGUGGUUCCGGCGCGGUCAGCUGGCGCGGCGCAAGGGCGGCCGCGCCAAGUUCGGCAGCCGCACCAUGAAGCGCGGCGUGUGGAACGAUAUCGGCGGCGUCGCGUCGCGGGAGGUCGUGAACGAAGCUCAGAACCCGUCACCAGCGGGGCCGAACUUUGGGCCGCCCAGUGGUCCUCCGCAGUAAGGAGGAGGGCAUGCGUACUUGUCUACGUCGUUUUACACGCUGGAGGCAGAUGCAGGGCGGAUACACGAUGUCUGCACGCGCCACCGUCAUCGCCGCCACCGCGAAGCAGCCGGGUACGUGAGGAGGUAGCGUUUUUUGUUUAAGUAUAACGGGGGUGCUAUCGGGAGAGAAGGGCCCGGGAGAUGUGUGGGUGGCCAACCUCGCGCAUCACUGCCAUCAUCUCUUCCGCGCCCGCCUACCCACCCACCCCCUUCAGCACUCACAGAGAGGAAAGAAAGGCAUAACAGAUGCUCGCGCACACAGGCGUGCACAUGUAUCUGCGCGUUAUGUGUGUGUGUGUGUGGGGGGGGGGGGGGGCAGGGAAGAAGCACCACAGCCAAGAAGAUGCCACGAGCUAUGGGCGACAGGGGAUGCAUGAGAAGGAAAGCACUCGCGACGUGUUAGCCUACGCGAGCAGACUGCGGAGGCGCCUGUACUCUUGUAUUCGGCUCUCUCACAGACUCGCUUGUGGCGCCUCCUUGGCGCUCAUGUAUGGCUGUGCGGCACGUGACGUGCAAGGCACACGCGCAGGCGUCUUUCCAUCCGCCACUCCCUCUCCCUCUCCGCUCACUCGCGUAUAAAACAUGCUUGGCGGAUCAAUGGCCGGACUGCUUGUCGGCGUUUGC
rnacentral:misc_RNA from 1 species